rnacentral:miRNA from 12 species
UUGUGGCCCUUCUGCUGAGCCCUCUCCAGUAGCUCCUUGUCUUUCUUGUGCUGGGGAGCCCAGAACUGGACACAGCCCUUCAGAUGUGACCUCACCA